UGCUUCUAGACGGGGGAAAAGAGUAGAAGAGGGAGGAGAGAGAAAGUCAUUUUAAUGACAAACUGUGCUCUUCUCAGUGGGGAUGUCAAUAUGCAGUGAUGCCCCAGAUCAGAGAUGUGAAAAUCUCCUAGUUAUCAAAAAAAAUUUCUUCAGACAGAAAAAAGUUCCAAUAAAGGUAGAAUUAGUACAAGUUACUUUAUGCAUUUGUGAACUUUUUCUAUAAUUGAUGACAUUAAACCGCAUCUGACACACCAUUUCUUUCUUCCAUAAAUAUUAAACAUGUUAAAAGCAAGUAACUUAUUUGUGUAUUCUUUAUUUUCCAGAGGCUCUAUGUCCAUCCUUUGUUAAACAUUUCUGAUAAAAUUCAAAUAAAACCAUGCUAAUGAGCUGUAGAGUGCUAUCUAUGAUCAUUUUACUCAUCACUAUUAUUUUGCUAGAGCAAAGUAGUUUUUAGAAGUCCUUUUUCUUUUCACUUUGUUCUAGAGAGUAUUUGAAAAUCAAGACUCUAUCUCUAAAGAUGGACAGUCCUUUAGGAGGCAAUGCUGAGUUUUUUCCUGGUAUUUGUAAGGCACUGCUAUCUUUGGACCUAAAACGUUAAGACCAAAGGGCCCAUACCUUGACUUCCCUAAAAGGGACACAUUUCCUCCUUGGAAAAGAUUUGAACUGUGAUAAUGAUUAAUUCUAUAUUUCUCAGGCAAGACCUCUGAAUCAUCACAAAAUUAUGGAUUUAGUCUGUGUUUAAGAAUAUCUCCAGUGUGUCAGCUUCUCCCAAUAAAAGAAUUUUGUAUUUCAGUGUCCAGUGAUUAUUACAUUUGAAAAUGUAACAUUUAAUACUUUAUAGAUGGCAGAUAUUAUUGACAAGCUUUAGAAAUACAUCCAUCAGAUAUAUUUCUUUUGAGAAGGCUGAAAUGCAUCUGGGGAUCAGAAAGGAUGAUGAUGAAAUUAAUAGAAUGUGAAACAGACACUCAGCUGAGAACCUCUAAGGCAUUUUUGGAGACAACAUGGUAACAUUUCGACCUUCUCACAUCAGGAAUGGAAGAUGGAACAGAAGAUAAUAGAGAAUACAAAGGAUAUAUAAAUGAACUGGUCCCACCUAUGGAAUGUAGAGCUAUGAUAAGGACAGGAAUGCAAAAGCCAUGGUGAUUUGGCAUAUGGACUGCAUGAAAUGUCUCCCAAGUGAAAACAUGGGGAUGGAAGAGAAGACUGAGCAGAGCAAGAGAAUGGCUCACUUGAAUGGAAAUACCUGUAAAAACCACAGCACUCAAGGGCUUUGUUUGGUGCCCUUGGGCCAAGCCGAAAAGCAUAACCUCAUAACCAAUGCCAGUUAUGAGGCCUUUAAGCUCCAGUUUCCUCUGGGUUCCUGAAAGUGUGAACUCCUGGGGGUCCAGCAGCUUGCCAGAAUCCACCACGAUUACUAGAAAGCUGUCAAAGGCAUUCUCCAAUGCCAUCCAUGAAACUGUGAACCCAUGGGGAUUAAUGUCGGAAAUGGUUAAGCUUUCCAGUAGGGGCAAGGCCUCUGAAAGAAGGGAGGGUUGAAAACAGUACAGAUUAGUGUCACAGACUCCACCAAAAUAGCCUUAAAUCUUCACAAAGGACAAUACAUGGAAAAUCUUAAAAGGUUACCAGAUGUCAAGUAUUGACACAGUAAUUUUUUUCUUGUAGAUUAUAUAAAUAUCAUUUUUAGCAUUAUUAGGAAAAUAAUUUUGAAUUUAUGGACCCCCUAAAAAGAUCUUGGAACUACUGCCCUAGGACAGUCUAGGUCAUGCUUAAUUUGGAGCACUCUGCAUUCACUGUUGUAUAAAAACACUCAAAAAAUAAUUCUUAAUGCUUAAGAUUUAAUCCUAAAGGCUUUGACUUAAAGAAAAAGAGUUAAAAUACUCUUUCACUUUAUAAAGAAGUGUAUUGUCAUUCUACUCCCCACUUAUUUUCUGGAAUUGGAUCUCCCAAGUUUUUUUUUGAAACACUGGUUGUUUAUUUUGAAAUAUUUUGCAUAAAGAGAUUUUUAAAAAUGUAGUGUUUCUGAUAAAGGCUAAGAAGAAACUUAUGAUAUAAACAAAACUUUUCCUUUUCCCUUCAUUAACGGAACAUUACUUCCUAUGGAAUCAUCUUUGCCCCUUCACUAUCAUGUAAUUUUUCCCUGAUAAGCUUGAUGUGAUUUUUCUCUGUGUGCCCAUUUUAAGGGUAUUUUUAAAGAUCUUGACUGCCUUUAUAUUUAACACUUGGAGUGGACAAUCUAGUAAUUUGGUCCUGGAUGUACAAACUAGAGAUUUUCUGCCUUAUUUAAUUUUUUUUUUGUUAUUCAUUCUCCCUGGGAGGUUUGUAUGAAGCAACAUGUAAUGGGAAAGUCUCUUUGAUAGAACCUUUGUUCAUUAAUAAUCAUCAUUUACCCACAACCCCCAGGAAUUUUAUUCAUUACUCAUCUUAUGUAUAUGUAUAUAUAUCUAUAUAUCUUUGGAAGUCUGAGGUUUAGAAGAUUAUCUGAGCAAUGAAUAUACACACAUACAUGCAUGUAUAUCUGAUUAUAUUUUAGAAACUUGUUCUUUUCAAUUGUGGGAAAAUCAUUAUGGAAUAUUUCCAUUGUGCAGAACUGUGCUUGGGAGGCCCUUUAAAUUUAAAUAAUGAAUCUAAAUUUUCCUCAGACAAUAAAAAACUUAAUGGAACUUUCACAGAUACAUAAUUUAAAACAGGCACUGGGAGGGAAUUUGGUUCAGUAUGUGUGAAUCAGAUGAUUUUCUUCCCCCUCCUCCUUAACUCUCCACCUCAUAUUAGUAUAUGUGAGAUUUCUUUUGCCUCUUAGGUAUGCUUACUCUAAAGUUGAAUAUCAUCUCGUUCCAAAAAUGAUGAACAAGAAUAUUUCCUUUUUAAGAAAAAAUUCAGAAAGAUAAUUCCUAGGAAGUGAAUAAGGAUACCAUAAAUAAGGUCUAAGUGACUUAUCUAUUCUCUAAUUCUAACCCUUAAUGAUCUCUUCUAGUUGUCAAUUUUAGAGAGAAUGUUUUUCUGUUGUUAAGGGCAAACCAACAUCUUUCAGGAUUAAUUUAGUCUGAACCUACCCUAUGCAGAGCCAUAAAUUUUAGGAUUUGUUAUUAUUUUUCAUAAAUAUUUAAAUAUAUUUAUAUUGAUUAUAUCAUUCUGUUGGCACAGGAGCCAAUCUUCCACAAAUCAGACUGGGGAAAUUUAGUAUCCCAAUGGAAUGCCCAAGAAGUAUUUUCCCACAAUUGAUUUUGAAAAGAGAAAUUUCUUCUUCUUAAUCACAAGGAAGAGGAGAAUCAGGCUAAACAAGUUUAAAUAGGUUUUGGAUGUUGUAUGUACAGUGAAUCAUGUUGAAUUCUGCCUGGAAUUAAAAUAAUGACACUAUUUUCUAUAAGCUAGAAUUACAAAUGAAAUUCUAUGAUGUUAAAGACUUUGAAACUAGUAACUGUCAUCACAAAGCCAUUUAGUGAUUUGGUCUGGUCAUCAGUCUAUAUUGUUUCCUAAUGUUAAUGUCAUAGUCAGUAUUAUCUCUCAAUAUGUGAUGUAAUGUGAUGUAAGCAUGUCACCAGAGAUUGUGCUGCUGAAGUUCAUACAGAAAGUGAGAAUUGCUAACACUGAUGACAAUCUUUGCAAAGGGGCCAGCACUUGUGGUCCAUAUGUCAAGGAUAAUAUGGCCUCCUGCACCUGAAUGACAAAGCUGUCAUAAGCCCCAUCUGCUGCCAUCCAGUUGAGUUUGAGGGCAUCCCAGCUAACAUCUGUCACGAUGCUGUCCAUUACUACCAACUUCCUCCAGUGAGGUGGAUGUUAUGCUUGAUAGAGAAGACUCUGCAAUGUGAAUAAUUCCUGGCUGAGGAACAUAAUGCCUGACCUUUGGGUAUGACCUGUCUCCUCCCAAACUGCCAUUGCUAGAAGACAACAGUGAUUUGGACAACAGAGACAUGAAUUUGAAGUGGCAUGGACACAGGUUCCCUUCCUGCUGAGGAUAUUUUACUCUUCUUGCCUUUGCCUAUGAAAAUCUCUAGGUCAUUUCAAAGUCCAGCUCAGGCCAGGACCACGGGUGUUGUUUUUCACAAUAUGCAAAGAAAUCUCAUACUCCUGUCCUGGAGCCAGGC